GGCAACGUAGCCAAGUGGUAAGGCGGUGGUCUGCAAAAUCACUAUUUCGCCGGUUCGAAUCCGGCCGUUGCCU
rnacentral:tRNA from 1 species